rnacentral:rRNA from 1 species
GGCGGCGUGCUUAACACAUGCAAGUCGAACGGAAAGGCCCUGCUUUUGUGGGGUGCUCGAGUGGCGAACGGGUGAGUAACACGUGAGUAACCUGCCCUUGACUUUGGGAUAACUUCAGGAAACUGGGGCUAAUACCGGAUAGGAGCUCCUGCUGCAUGGUGGGGGUUGGAAAGUUUCGGCGGUUGGGGAUGGACUCGCGGCUUAUCAGCUUGUUGGUGGGGUAGUGGCUUACCAAGGCUUUGACGGGUAGCCGGCCUGAGAGGGUGACCGGCCACAUUGGGACUGAGAUACGGCCCAGACUCCUACGGGAGGCAGCAGUGGGGAAUAUUGCACAAUGGGCGGAAGCCUGAUGCAGCAACGCCGCGUGCGGGAUGACGGCCUUCGGGUUGUAAACCGCUUUCGCCUGUGACGAAGCGUGAGUGACGGUAAUGGGUAAAGAAGCACCGGCUAACUACGUGCCAGCAGCCGCGGUGAUACGUAGGGUGCGAGCGUUGUCCGGAUUUAUUGGGCGUAAAGGGCUCGUAGGUGGUUGAUCGCGUCGGAAGUGUAAUCUUGGGGCUUAACCCUGAGCGUGCUUUCGAUACGGGUUGACUUGAGGAAGGUAGGGGAGAAUGGAAUUCCUGGUGGAGCGGUGGAAUGCGCAGAUAUCAGGAGGAACACCAGUGGCGAAGGCGGUUCUCUGGGCCUUUCCUGACGCUGAGGAGCGAAAGCGUGGGGAGCGAACAGGCUUAGAUACCCUGGUAGUCCACGCUGUAAACGGUGGGUACUAGGUGUGGGGUCCAUUCCACGGGUUCCGUGCCGUAGCUAACGCUUUAAGUACCCCGCCUGGGGAGUACGGCCGCAAGGCUAAAACUCAAAGGAAUUGACGGGGCCCCGCACAAGCGGCGGAGCAUGCGGAUUAAUUCGAUGCAACGCGUAGAACCUUACCUGGGUUUGACAUGGAUCGGGAGCGCUCAGAGAUGGGUGUGCCUCUUUUGGGGUCGGUUCACAGGUGGUGCAUGGCUGUCGUCAGCUCGUGUCGUGAGAUGUUGGGUUAAGUCCCGCAACGAGCGCAACCCUUGUUCACUGUUGCCAGCACGUUAUGGUGGGGACUCAGUGGAGACCGCCGGGGUCAACUCGGAGGAAGGUGGGGAUGACGUCAAGUCAUCAUGCCCCUUAUGUCCAGGGCUUCACGCAUGCUACAAUGGCUGGUACAGAGAGUGGCGAGCCUGUGAGGGUGAGUGAAUCUCGGAAAGCCGGUCUCAGUUCGGAUUGGGGUCUGCAACUCGACCUCAUGAAGUCGGAGUCGCUAGUAAUCGCAGAUCAGCAACGCUGCGGUGAAUACGUUCCCGGGGCUUGUACACACCGCCCGUCAAGUCAUGAAAGUUGGUAACACCCGAAGCCGGUGGCCUAACCGUUGUGGGGGAGCCGUCGAAGGUGGGACUGGUGAUUAGGACUAAGUCAU